rnacentral:misc_RNA from 1 species
GGAUCAAUCUGUUGGUCGUGCCUUUGGUACGUACUAGCUUAUUGAUUUCUCCCUUCUGACGAACCAUGAUGUCAUUUAUUUGGUGUUGUGGGAAAUCAGGACUGUUACUUUGAAAAAAUUAGAGUGCUUAAAGCAGGCUCACGCUUGAAUACAUUAGCAUGGAAUAAUGAAAUAGGACGUUUGAUUCUAUUUUGUUGGUUUCUAGGAUCGACGUAAUGAUUAAUAGGGAUAGUUGGGUCACCAAGCAAAGCUUGAGGGUACAAAUGACGCUCGAACAGGCAUGCCCUUUGGAAUACCAAAGGGCGCAAUGUGC